GCUGUAUGCUUUGUCCACAAUUUAAAUAACAUUCACACUUGCUUCUAUAGCAAACAAAGACCUGAGGCCACAAACACCCGAAUCCGAUUUGCAAGAUACAUCUCAAGAUGAAAGAGCGACAUCUCCGCCUCUGAAAAGGUCAAGGCCUUCGGGCCUACUCAGGGCUCCCCAAUUUACUCAAAGUCCCCGGCAGCCCCUGGACA